rnacentral:rRNA from 1 species
CCUACGGGCGGCAGCAGUGAGGAAUAUUGGUCAAUGGGCGAGAGCCUGAACCAGCCAAGUCGCGUGAGGGAUGAAGGAUCUAUGGUUUGUAAACUUCUUUUAUAUGGGAAUAAAGUGAGGAACGUGUUCCUUUUUGUAUGUACCAUAUGAAUAAGCAUCGGCUAACUCCGUGCCAGCAGCCGCGGUAAUACGGAGGAUGCGAGCGUUAUCCGGAUUUAUUGGGUUUAAAGGGUGCGUAGGUGGUUAAUUAAGUCAGCGGUGAAAGUUUGUGGCUCAACCAUAAAAUUGCCGUUGAAACUGGUUGACUUGAGUAUGUUUGAGGUAGGCGGAAUGCGUGGUGUAGCGGUGAAAUGCAUAGAUAUCACGCAGAACUCCGAUUGCGAAGGCAGCUUGCUAAGCUAUGACUGACGCUGAAGCACGAAAGCGUGGGGAUCGAACAGGAUUAGAUACCCUGGUAGUC